CCUACGGGAGGCAGCAGUGGGGAAUAUUGGGCAAUGGGCGCAAGCCUGACCCAGCAACGCCGCGUGAAGGCAGAAGGCUUUCGGGUUGUACACUUCUUUUGUCAGGGAAGAGUAGAAGACGGUACCUGACGAAUAAGCCACGGCUAACUACGUGCCAGCAGCCGCGGUAAUACGUAGGUGGCAAGCGUUGUCCGGAUUUACUGGGUGUAAAGGGCGUGUAGCCGGGUUGACAAGUCAGAUGUGAAAUCCUGCGGCUUAACCGAAGAACUGCAUUUGAAACUGUUGAUCUUGAGUACUGGAGAGGCAGAUGGAAUUCCUAGUGUAGCGGUGAAAUGCGUAGAUAUUAGGAGGAACACCAGUGGCGAAGGCGGUCUGCUGGACAGCAACUGACGGUGAGGCGCGAAAGCGUGGGGAGCAAACAGGAUUAGAUACCCCUGUAGUC
rnacentral:rRNA from 1 species